UACGUAGGGUCCGAGCGUUUGUCCGGAAUUACUGGGCGUAAAGAGCUCGUAGGUGGUUUGUCGCGUUGUUCGUGAAAAACUCACAGCUCAACUGUGGGCGUGCGGGCGAUACGGGCAGACUUGAGUACUGCAGGGGGAGACUGGAAUUCCUGGUGUAGCGGUGGAAUGCGCAGAUAUCAGGAGGAACACCGGUGGCGAAGGCGGGUCUCUGGGCAGUAACUGACGCUGAGGAGCGAAAGCGUGGGGAGCGAACAGG
rnacentral:rRNA from 1 species